rnacentral:rRNA from 1 species
CCCUUCGGGGUACUCGAGCGGCGAACGGGUGAGUAACACGUGAGCAACCUGCCCUAGGCUUUGGGAUAACCCCGGGAAACCGGGGCUAAUACCGAAUAGGACCUCUGACCGCAUGGUUGGUGGUGGAAAGUUUUUCGGCCUGGGAUGGGCUCGCGGCCUAUCAGCUUGUUGGUGGGGUGAUGGCCUACCAAGGCGACGACGGGUAGCCGGCCUGAGAGGGCGACCGGCCACACUGGGACUGAGACACGGCCCAGACUCCUACGGGAGGCAGCAGUGGGGAAUAUUGCACAAUGGGCGGAAGCCUGAUGCAGCGACGCCGCGUGAGGGAUGACGGCCUUCGGGUUGUAAACCUCUUUCAGCAGGGACGAAGCGUAAGUGACGGUACCUGCAGAAGAAGCGCCGGCCAACUACGUGCCAGCAGCCGCGGUAAGACGUAGGGCGCGAGCGUUGUCCGGAUUUAUUGGGCGUAAAGAGCUCGUAGGCGGCUUGUCGCGUCGACUGUGAAAACCCGCAGCUCAACUGCGGGCCUGCAGUCGAUACGGGCAGGCUAGAGUUCGGUAGGGGAGACUGGAAUUCCUGGUGUAGCGGUGAAAUGCGCAGAUAUCAGGAGGAACACCGGUGGCGAAGGCGGGUCUCUGGGCCGAUACUGACGCUGAGGAGCGAAAGCGUGGGGAGCGAACAGGAUUAGAUACCCUGGUAGUCCACGCUGUAAACGUUGGGCGCUAGGUGUGGGGGGCCUCUCCGGUUCCCUGUGCCGCAGCUAACGCAUUAAGCGCCCCGCCUGGGGAGUACGGCCGCAAGGCUAAAACUCAAAGGAAUUG